GCUGGCGUAGCUCAAUUGGUAGAGCAGCUGACUUGUAAUCAGCAGGUUGCGGGUUCAAUUCCUGUCGCCAGCUCCA
rnacentral:tRNA from 8 species